UAAUACCGGAUAACAACACUAGACGCAUGUCUAGAGUUUGAAAGAUGGUUCUGCUAUCACUCUUGGAUGGACCUGCGGUGCAUUAGCUAGUUGGUAAGGUAACGGCUUACCAAGGCAAUGAUGCAUAGCCGAGUUGAGAGACUGAUCGGCCACAUUGGGACUGAGACACGGCCCAAACUCCUACGGGAGGCAGCAGUAGGGAAUCUUCCACAAUGGACGAAAGUCUGAUGGAGCAACGCCGCGUGAGUGAAGAAGGGUUUCGGCUCGUAAAGCUCUGUUGGUAGUGAAGAAAGAUAGAGGUAGUAACUGGCCUUUAUUUGACGGUAAUUACUUAGAAAGUCACGGCUAACUACGUGCCAGCAGCCGCGGUAAUACGUAGGUGGCAAGCGUUGUCCGGAUUUAUUGGGCGUAAAGCGAGUGCAGGCGGUUCAAUAAGUCUGAUGUGAAAGCCUUCGGCUCAACCGGAGAAUUGCAUCAGAAACUGUUGAACUUGAGUGCAGAAGAGGAGAGUGGAACUCCAUGUGUAGCGGUGGAAUGCGUAGAUAUAUGGAAGAACACCAGUGGCGAAGGCGGCUCUCUGGUCUGCAACUGACGCUGAGGCUCGAAAGCAUGGGUAGCGAACAGGAUUAGAUACCCUGGUAGUCCAUGCCGUAAACGAUGAGUGCUAAGUGUUGGGAGGUUUCCGCCUCUCAGUGCUGCAGCUAACGCAUUAAGCACUCCGCCUGGGGAGUACGACCGCAAGGUUGAAACUCAAAGGAAUUGACGGGGGCCCGCACAAGCGGUGGAGCAUGUGGUUUAAUUCGAAGCAACGCGAAGAACCUUACCAGGUCUUGACAUCCAGUGCAAACCUAAGAGAUUAGGUGUUCCCUUCGGGGACGCUGAGACAGGUGGUGCAUGGCUGUCGUCAGCUCGUGUCGUGAGAUGUUGGGUUAAGUCCCGCAACGAGCGCAACCCUUGUCAUUAGUUGCCAUCAUUAAGUUGGGCACUCUAAUGAGACUGCCGGUGACAAACCGGAGGAAGGUGGGGAUGACGUCAAGUCAUCAUGCCCCUUAUGACCUGGGCUACACACGUGCUACAAUGGACGGUACAACGAGAAGCGAACCUGCGAAGGCAAGCGGAUCUCUUAAAGCUGUUCUCAGUUCGGACUGUAGGCUGCAACUCGCCUACACGAAGCUGGAAUCGCUAGUAAUCGCGGAUCAGCACGCCGCGGUGAAUACGUUCCCGGGCCUUGUACUCACCGCCCGUCA
rnacentral:rRNA from 1 species